AGUUAAAUAUAAAAAAAAAAAUCAGAUGACGAGACUAUUUUAUUAAUAAAAUCAAAUAAUAAUGACCAACUAACAUAUUUUAAAAAUAUAUAAAUUAAUUAUUAAAUAGUAAUUUUCCUUAUACUAACGUAUACAUGCUCAUUCUUUCUCUUCUUUUCUGCUUUCCUCUCUUUCCCUUUACUCCAUUAGAUAUCUUCCAUUGCUUUCCCUUUACUCCAUUAGAUCUCUUCCUUGGCAGGCCAUGAGUGAGUUUCUGACAAGUGGUUACCUCAAAAUUGUUUUUUU
rnacentral:misc_RNA from 1 species